rnacentral:misc_RNA from 1 species
GAAAUGCGAUAAGUAAUGUGAAUUGCAGAAUUCAGUGAAUCAUCGAAUCUUUGAACGCACCUUGCGCUCCUUGGUAUUCCUUGGAGCAUGCCUGUUUGAGUAUCAUGAAAUCUUCAAAGUAAAUCUUUUGUUAACUCAAUUGGUUUCUACUUUGGUAUUGGAGGUCUUUGCAGCUUCACACCUGCUCCUCUUUGUUCAUUAGCUGGAUCUCAGUGUUAUGCUUGGUUCCACUCGGCGUGAUAAGUUAUCUAUCGCUGAGGACACUGUAAAGGGUGGCCAAGGUAAAUGCAGAUGAACCGCUUCUAAUAGUCCAUUGACUUGGACAAUACUUUUAUGAUCUGAUCUCAAAUCAGGUAGGACUACCCGCUGAACUUAAGC